rnacentral:rRNA from 1 species
GACGAACGCUGGCGGCGCGCCUAACACAUGCAAGUCGAACGAGCGAGGGAGAGCUUGCUUUCUUGAGCGAGUGGCGAACGGGUGAGUAACGCGUGAGGAACCUGCCUCAAAGAGGGGGACAACAGUUGGAAACGACUGCUAAUACCGCAUAAGCCCACGGUGCCGCAUGGCACAGAGGGAAAAGGAGCAAUCCGCUUUGAGAUGGCCUCGCGUCCGAUUAGCUGGUUGGUGAGGUAACGGCCCACCAAGGCGACGAUCGGUAGCCGGACAGAGAGGUUGAACGGCCACACUGGGACUGAGACACGGCCCAGACUCCUACGGGAGGCAGCAGUGGGGAAUAUUGCACAAUGGGGGAAACCCUGAUGCAGCGACGCCGCGUGGAGGAAGAAGGUCUUCGGAUUGUAAACUCCUGUUGUUGGGGAAGAUAAUGACGGUACCCAACAAGGAAGUGACGGCUAACUACGUG